AUUAUCUUGAUGGAUCUCUGCCUAAAAGCAUAAGAUCAACGGAACCAUGUCAUCUGAAUAGAAGCUAGUGAAUGGGAUUGGGUGCAGUAAAAUGGAAAUCUUUUUUAAUGAAAGAUAAGAGCUGCAUCCUUACCUCUCAACCUUUCAAUCCUUUCAUUUGAGGAUUGGAGGAACCAUCUGGAUUGUAACAGCAAGUUCUUUUCAAGCACAAAAGUUCCAGGAGAGAGAGAAUAUAGAUUUAGUAUUAUUCCUCCUGGCAUUCCUCAUUCUAACUUUUGCCAUCACCUGAGUUCCAGCAUUGGGGAAGAUAAAAGCACCAGGGUGCACAUCUUUAAAGACAUUUAUGCUGCUUGCCUUCAAAAAAUCAGAAAGUGCAGUUGACAGAAGGGUCACGUUCACACUACAAUAUCAAUUGCAACUCAACAAGGACUCCAGUCGCCAAGGAGCUUAAUUAUAAUCUAGACAC
rnacentral:sRNA from 1 species